AUAGGCAUCUCUUUUUUAGGCGUAAGUAGAUCAUCAGGGACAUCUGGAAACCGGUCUUCAUCAUCGUCGUCAUCAUCCGCCGGUUCGUCAGGGGUUGGAUUUUCUUCAUUUGGGCAUUCACCGGCGUCGUGACUCCACAUUCCACAGAGGGUAUAGAAAUUUCGCAGUUUUUCAUAACGGAACUUCAGGACGGUAGCCGCAUCUCCGAAUUGGAAAAUCCUUUGGAAACGGAGUGGGUUAUUGAUGUGCCAUAGAAGACGGACGCGGACAUAAUCCACCAAGACCGCACCUUCUCCAGCAAAGUCAGUUUCCAUGAAGUGUCCCAUGUUCUCUCCUAUUGAGAU
rnacentral:sRNA from 1 species